GGUGGAGUCUUCCGCGGGCAUAAAAACAACUCGUCGUUAUAGUCAGGUCCUUUCUAUCCUGCAGAUUCGUCUGCCCGAAGGAUCUUGGGGCGGUGGAGAUGCUCUUCGCGUUGAAGACGCCACAAAGCCUCAAGCUGUUUGCUUGCUCUCUUUAUGAUGUGGAGUGGAGUAUGGCGUGAAACCCUUACUGCCAAGGGUAGGGCACUGGGACCCUGUGCCCUCAGCCCCGGUGAUGUCGGCGCGGGAUCUUGAUUGGUCGAGGUCCCCUGCGGGCCCCAGGUCUGGAGACGCGGGUCUCUAGUGAGCAGCACCAGGCCGUCGAUUCUUCGACCGCCAACGAUGCAUCAGACACAAGAAGCAACCAAAAACAAACAAAAGCCACCAAACAAAACUUCUCUUUCCCCCUUUUCCCUGGUGGCUUCUGGUUGUCUGUUGCUUGGUUGGUGGGUCGAGGGAUGGACCUACUGGUAAAAAAUUCAACCCAGAUUUCAUAUGUGCUGUGCGCUCGCUUUCCUUAUCAGAAAAUCAAUAAAAAAAAUGGCAAAAGCUGGAACUGAAA